rnacentral:rRNA from 1 species
GACGAACGCUGGCGGCGUGCUUAACACAUGCAAGUCGAACGGAAAGGCCCUGCUUUUGUGGGGUGCUCGAGUGGCGAACGGGUGAGUAACACGUGAGUAACCUGCCCUUGACUUUGGGAUAACUUCAGGAAACUGGGGCUAAUACCGGAUAGGAGCUCCUGCUGCAUGGUGGGGGUUGGAAAGUUUCGGCGGUUGGGGAUGGACUCGCGGCUUAUCAGCUUGUUGGUGGGGUAGUGGCUUACCAAGGCUUUGACGGGUAGCCGGCCUGAGAGGGUGACCGGCCACAUUGGGACUGGGAUACGGCCCAGACUCCUACGGGAGGAAGGAGUGGGGAAUAUUGCACAAUGGGCGGAAGCCUGAUGCAGCAACGCCGCGUGCGGGAUGACGGCCUUCGGGUUGUAAACCGCUUUCGCCUGUGACGAAGCGUGAGGGACGGAAUGGGUAAAGAAGCACCGGCUAACUACGUG